rnacentral:rRNA from 1 species
AGAGUUUGAUCAUGGCUCAGAAUCAACGCUGGCGGCGGCUUAACACAUGCAAGUCGCACGAGAAAGCAGGAGCAAUCCUGUGAGUACAGUGGCGUACGGGUGAGUAACACGUGGAUAAUCUACCCUUUAGUGGGGAAUAACGCUGGGAAACCGGCGCUAAUACCGCAUAAUCUCGAGAGAGGAAAGCAGCAAUGCGCUGAAGGAGGAGUCCGCGGCCGAUUAGCUAGUUGGUAGGGUAAAAGCCUACCAAGGCAUAGAUCGGUAGCCGGCCUGAGAGGGCACACGGCCACACUGGCACUGAAACACGGGCCAGACUCCUACGGGAGGCAGCAGUGGGGAAUCUUGCACAAUGGGGGAAACCCUGAUGCAGCGACGCCGCGUGAGCGAUGAAGCCCUUCGGGGUGUAAAGCUCUUUCGGCAGGGACGAUAAUGACGGUACCUGCAGAAGCAGCUGCGGCUAACUACGUGCCAGCAGCCGCGGUAAUACGUAGGCAGCGAGCGUUGUUCGGAGUUACUGGGCGUAAAGGGUGUGUAGGCGGUUUUCUAAGUUUGGUGUGAAAUCUCCCGGCUCAACCGGGAGGGUGCGCCGAAAACUGGGAGACUAGAGUGCGGGAUGGGAGAGUAGAAUUCCCGGUGUAGCGGUGAAAUGCGUAGAUAUCAGGAGGAAUACCGGUGGUGUAGACGGCUCUCUGGACCGCCACUGACGCUGAGACACGAAAGCGUGGGUAGCAAACAGGAUUAGAUACCCUAGUAGUCC